GAUGAACGCUGGCGGCGUGCCUAAUACAUGCAAGUCGAGCGAACGGACGAGAAGCUUGCUUCUCUGAUGUUAGCGGCGGACGGGUGAGUAACACGUGGAUAACCUACCUAUAAGACUGGGAUAACUUCGGGAAACCGGAGCUAAUACCGGAUAAUAUUUUGAACCGCAUGGUUCAAAAGUGAAAGACGGUCUUGCUGUCACUUAUAGAUGGAUCCGCGCUGCAUUAGCUAGUUGGUAAGGUAACGGCUUACCAAGGCAACGAUGCAUAGCCGACCUGAGAGGGUGAUCGGCCACACUGGAACUGAGACACGGUCCAGACUCCUACGGGAGGCAGCAGUAGGGAAUCUUCCGCAAUGGGCGAAAGCCUGACGGAGCAACGCCGCGUGAGUGAUGAAGGUCUUCGGAUCGUAAAACUCUGUUAUUAGGGAAGAACAUAUGUGUAAGUAACUGUGCACAUCUUGACGGUACCUAAUCAGAAAGCCACGGCUAACUACGUGCCAGCAGCCGCGGUAAUACGUAGGUGGCAAGCGUUAUCCGGAAUUAUUGGGCGUAAAGCGCGCGUAGGCGGUUUUUUAAGUCUGAUGUGAAAGCCCACGGCUCAACCGUGGAGGGUCAUUGGAAACUGGAAAACUUGAGUGCAGAAGAGGAAGGUGGAAUUCCAUGUGUAGCGGUGAAAUGCGCAGAGAUAUGGAGGAACACCAGUGGCGAAGGCGACUUUCUGGUCUGUAACUGACGCUGAUGUGCGAAAGCGUGGGGAUCAAACAGGAUUAGAUACCCUGGUAGUCCACGCCGUAAACGAUGAGUGCUAAGUGUUAGGGGGUUUCCGCCCCUUAGUGCUGCAGCUAACGCAUUAAGCACUCCGCCUGGGGAGUACGACCGCAAGGUUGAAACUCAAAGGAAUUGACGGGGACCCGCACAAGCGGUGGAGCAUGUGGUUUAAUUCGAAGCAACGCGAAGAACCUUACCAAAUCUUGACAUCCUUUGACAACUCUAGAGAUAGAGCUUUCCCCUUCGGGGGACAAAGUGACAGGUGGUGCAUGGUUGUCGUCAGCUCGUGUCGUGAGAUGUUGGGUUAAGUCCCGCAACGAGCGCAACCCUUAAGCUUAGUUGCCAUCAUUAAGUUGGGCACUCUAAGUUGACUGCCGGUGACAAACCGGAGGAAGGUGGGGAUGACGUCAAAUCAUCAUGCCCCUUAUGAUUUGGGCUACACACGUGCUACAAUGGACAAUACAAAGGGCAGCGAAACCGUGAGGUCAAGCAAAUCCCAUAAAGUUGUUCUCAGUUCGGAUUGUAGUCUGCAACUCGACUACAUGAAGCUGGAAUCGCUAGUAAUCGUAGAUCAGCAUGCUACGGUGAAUACGUUCCCGGGUCU
rnacentral:rRNA from 1 species